rnacentral:rRNA from 1 species
AACGAACGCUGGCGGCGUGCCUAACACAUGCAAGUCGAGGGAGAAAGCCGCAAGGUGAGUAAACCGGCGAACGGGUGCGUAACACGUGGAUAAUCUACCUUCCUGACCGGGACAACUGGCCGAAAGGCUUGCUAAUACCGGAUAAGACCACGUCGACUUCGGUCGAUGAGGGAAAAGGUGGCCUCUGUAAACAAGCUAUUGCAGGGAGAUGAGUCCGCGGCCCAUCAGCUAGUUGGCGGGGUAAAAGCCCACCAAGGCAACGACGGGUAG